ensembl:lncRNA LINC00963 long intergenic non-protein coding RNA 963
GCUUUCAACUCUCUGAACUUCGGUUCCUCAUCUGCCAGUUGGCAGACGCUCAGCAAAUCUUCCUAGACUCACGGGGCGAAUUGUACAGUUGGGUAAAUCGAGGCCCAGAGAUGGCAAAAGGACCGUCCAAGGUCGUACAGCCACCCGGAAUUACAAUUCUUUUCUGCCGGGUCACACGCUGUCAUCCACGUGUUACCUAAGAGAGCUUUCCAGCCUGUGCUAAGAAAACUGCCCCACAUCAUCUGCAGUAGGACGGGGGAGUUGGAGCCCUGGUCAGGCCACUCUGCUACUGACCACAGUUUUCUCAUCUCUAAAAAGGCGCAGUAACAAUAUAAUUACCGUAUGCAGUCCCCCAGGAUACAGGGUCAAAGGAGAGCACAACCAUCGCAGUUGGAAGCCCAUGGGGCAGAAGCAAGGUCUCGCUGUGUUACCCUGGCUGGAGUGCAGUGGCUACUUACAGGCAUGAUCAUAGCAUACUGCAGCCUCGAACUCCUGGACUAGAGCAGUUCUCCUGCCUCAGCCUCCAGAGCAGCUGGGACUGCAGACACGCACCACAGAGCCCAGCCUGAGUCAUUUUGAUUCUGUAACUGGCUUCCUCUCGGCGGGCAGGCUCACACCCUCCACCCCCAGCUGGAGAUGGAAGGAGGAUGCUCACCGCCCAUUCCUCAUGCAGGCCAUCGAUGGAAAUGUCAGACAGUGCGAGUCCACGCCUGAACACUUCUGGGGUCCGCUCUGGGACUGACACUGGCAGAUCCAUCGGUGAGCUCCCGCCUGCCACCUCUGGGCCUGCAUUGCGGUGAUAGGGCCAAGGGCCUGGGCCUUCAAUUCUCCAGACUUGCCAAAAUGCUCAGCGCAGGCCUCGUCGGCAACUGCAGACAAGCAGAGGCAGCACCUGGGCUCUGCCUGUGCCUGGCACAGUGAAGCGAGGGUGGGGGCAGGAAUGAGGGUCCUCUCCAUGCAAGGGGGGAAGAUAGAAGAACAAAAUUUCACCCUAAUGUAGUGUCUUUAGACCGUGCAAUGUUGUGCUCCUGUUAGUCUGAUAUCAGGGGCUUGCAGCCUGGCAAAGGAAAAAAAACAGGCUGAGGCACAUGAUAGAAGACAGGCAGGGAUGCCACAAUCAUAACCAUGGCAAAGACCAGGAUCAGAAAGGCCCACCAUCUCUGACCCCAAAUCCCUGGGCAGAUGGUUCCAGAACUCAGAAUUUUCCCAGUUGUAGAAAGAUGGGGCCAGGUGCAGUGGCUCACGCCUGUAAUCCCAGCAUUUUGGGAGUACAAGGUGAUCCGCCUGCCUUGGCCUGCGAUAAAAUUGCACAGAAGUAAAUACACACACGUGAGGAUACGGAAAACCGGGGAAACCUGAGCAAGAGCAGUCAGACCCCGGCUGUGAUGGCGCCCAGUAGUUCUGCGAGAUGUUACCAUUGGGGAAACUGAGUGAAGGCGGGUACCUGGGAUCCCUCUGUUUUCUUUUUUGUUGUUGUUGUUAUUUUGAGAUGAAGUUUCCCUCUUGUUGCCCAGGCUGGGUGAUCCACCUGCCUCGGCCUCCCAAAGUGCUGGGAUUACACGCGUGAGCCACUGUGCCCAGCCUCUCUGUUUUAUUUCUUCUUUUUUUUUUUUUUUUUUUGGAGACGCUCUGUCGCCCAGGCUGGAGUGCAGUGGCACGAUAUUGGCUCACUGCAAGCUCCGCCUCCUGGGUUCACACCAUUCUCCUGCCUCAGCCUCCCGAGUAGCUGGGACUACAGGCGCCCGCCACCUCGCCCGUCUAAUUUUUUGUAUUUUUAGUAGAGGCGGGGCUUCACCGUGUUAGCCAGGAUGGUCUCAAUCUCCUGACCUCGUCAUCCGCCCGUCUCGGCCUCCCAUAGUGCUGGGAUUACAGGCAUGAGCCACCACGCCCGGCUGUUUUAUUUCUUAUAACUGUACAGGAAUCUACAAUGAUUGUAACAAAAAUUUCAAUUAAGGCCACUCUAGGCACAUGGCCUGUGGGGUAGCCCUGCUCAACAAGAAGCCGUCAAAAAAAUGUUUUUUAAUUAAAAAAUUUCUUCAAUUAAAAA